rnacentral:rRNA from 1 species
CCUACGGGGGGCAGCAGUGAGGAAUAUUGGUCAAUGGGCGGGAGCCUGAACCAGCCAAGUCGCGUAAGGGAAGACGGUCCUAUGGAUUGUAAACCUCUUUAGGCGGGGAGCAAUGCCGGGCACGCGUGCCCGGAGGGAGAGUACCCGCAGAAUAAGCAUCGGCUAACUCCGUGCCAGCAGCCGCGGUAAUACGGCGGAUGCGAGCGUUAUCCGGAUUUAUUGGGUUUAAAGGGUGCGUAGGCUGUGAGGUAAGUCAGCGGUGAAAUGCCCCCGCUCAACGGGGUGAAGUGCCAUUGAAACUGGCAAACUGGAGUGUGUGAGAGGAUAGUGGAAUGCCAGGUGUAGGAGUGAAAUCCGUAGAUAUCUGGAGGAACAUCAGUGGCGAAGGCGACUAUCUGGCACAUAACUGACGCUGAGGAGCGAAAGCGUGGGUAGCAAACAGGAUUAGAUACCCGUGUAGUC